GAAUGAUGGCAGACCAGGUCACAGAGAUCCCUAAGACAUUCAACUAUAACCAAGAAAUACAGCACUAUAAGCAAAAACUUUUUUAUUAUGGUAAAACACUUUUGGACUACACAUGGAGUCCCUCCUCAGUACCGUGUAUUCAGUUUCAAACUAUACAAUAUACAGAGAAUUUAGAACAUUCUAAGAAUACAAGUAAGUUCGAUUAAAGAAUGGCGUGUGUAGAUCAUCAAAUUUAAAUUCAAAAUAUUACAUAUUAACAAAUUUUUAAGUAACAUGUUGAAUAUACGUGUAUCAUAUACAGAAUAUUACGAUAAUAUAACAUGUAGAGUAAUAUAACUGUAUAAAUGAUACUAAAUAUUCUAAAUAGUAGGAAUAACUAAAUAAUAGGAAUAAUACAAAUAUUAACUAUGAACAACAUUGAUUACAUAGAUGCAAGUUGGGAUGUAGCAUACAUCCUCACAUACACACUGGCAAAAUCACAGGUUACAGGAGACUAAUUACCACUAACAUUAACAAAUAUAGGAGACAUAUACGUGAGAUAUGGUGUAGGAUGCCAAUUAGGCUAGCAUGUUUCAGGGUAUGGCAAGCCCAGUAAAGAUAUACCUAGAUCCAUAGUCCAUAGACACAGAUAUCAUAGCUUAUUCCCCAACCUCUAUUACAAGCCAUGUACGGUGCACCAUUUCCAAGAUUCUGGUAGAUCAGCAGGUGGGUUAUCAUUUAUAACAUUACAGUACAACUUCCUUUUUUCAAUUUCAGUCGCUUCUAAAACAUUGAGACCAAAGCUAUCAGAUACUGGCUUA
rnacentral:lncRNA from 1 species